rnacentral:tRNA from 1 species
GGGGUAUUAGCUCAUCUGGUAGAGCGCAACACUGGCAGUGUUGAGGUAAGCGGUUCGAGUCCGCUAUGCUCCACCA